CAUAUGCUCAAUGUAUUGAACUUAUUGAUGAUGACUUAUGCAACUGCAGGAGUCUGAAUCUUCUUCGAACACAAGAGUUAUGGAUCCUAAAAACAACGCUCCAAUCGUUUUUAAAGUUGAUUGAUGACUAUCAUCCUAUAUUUUUGGAAAUACCGUAUAAUGAGCGACCUUAUUGUGGGAAAGAAAAGUUCCAUAUGGCCAAUGUCUUGAAAUUAUUGAUGAUGACUUAUGCAACUGCAGGAGUCUGAAUCUUCUUCGAACACAAGACUUAGCAAGUUAGCAAGCGAAGGCAACUUUCCGAGUGAGCUGAAGGCAUUGAUAAACAAGAGGCUGCUGAUGAAGAACCUUUAGAUCCUGUUGCUUCUGAUCCAAAUCCAAUUGUUAACGUUAACAUCCGGGUAUUUCUUAUGGCUGAAGGUUCAUCAAGUUUCAGAGGAUACUGGUUCUGUAGGCUAAUGAAUGUAGCGGACGAAGUUAUUUUGUCUAUUCCGGACGACGCUGCGUGCAAAAUAUGGGGUGUAGACCAAGGCCUUACAAAUGUCAUGAUACACACUGAAGAUGAGUUUAUUAAAAGCUGGCCUAUCAAUUAAUAGAAUAUACAUGUGAAUACUAUGAAAAUAUGCACAUCUUAUUUGUUAACUUGCUUUUUUUAUACUUUUUGUGAACAUAUCUUUCACUGGGAGCUUAGUUACCUUGUGAUGUUAUUUAGAAUUGUCUUUUAACUUGCAGAUCUAUAGUGAUGGCCGCAACAAGAUAUUAUAGAUGGCUCUGAGAAAGAGUAACUGUUGUUUGUCUGGAGACACUUUAAUUCUUAACAAAAGUAAAAAAAUUUAUUGUUUUUUACUUUAGUGCAUUUUAACUAUAUUUUCAUAUUGUUAACAAGUAA